CAGUGGGCGGCGAGCGAGGAGAUGCUAAUCACUGCGGAUCGCUGGGCUCCAGCUGGAGGGUCUAAGAACUUCUGAGAGCCAAGCGGUCAGACCUGAUGAGGAUGGCCUACACCAGCCCUGGGGGACUCUUGAGGGCUCCAGUGACCUCCGGCCCACAGACCAGAGAUGCUGCCCACCAGAGUAUGUCCUUCAUUCACUUGGCAGCCCUGAUGACUGGCUUGGGGCCCAGAGCUGGGUGCUGAGGAAAAACCCACCCUUCCCCCGAGCUCCAGACUGGAUGAACGGUGGGCGUCUUAAACUAAUGUGUCCAAAAGGUGAGCUCCUGAACCCUGCCAAAACUGCGGCUCCUCCAGUCUUCCCGAAAUGGGACAAGUCACAGCGGCCUCCUUCCAGAUGAUCAGGCUCCCAGCUCUCGCCCAGCAUCCAGUCUGUCGGAAGACACUGUCAGCUCUGCCUCGGAGUUUCAGCCCCUUACCCCACCUCCAUUGCUUCAACCUGAUCUAAGCCAACAUCAUUGCUCGUUGGAUUCCUACAGUGAUAUCUGCUCAUCCCCUUCAUUCUAUUCCUGACGUAAUAGC